rnacentral:rRNA from 1 species
GAUUCCUACGGGAGGCAGCAGUGGGGAAUAUUGCACAAUGGGCGCAAGCCUGAUGCAGCGACGCCGCGUGGGGGAUGACGGCCUUCGGGUUGUAAACCUCUUUCAGUACCGACGAAGCGCAAGUGACGGUAGGUACAGAAGAAGCACCGGCCAACUACGUGCCAGCAGCCGCGGUAAUACGUAGGGUGCAAGCGUUGUCCGGAAUUACUGGGCGUAAAGAGCUCGUAGGUGGUUUGUCGCGUUGUUCGUGAAAACCCACGGCUUAACCGUGGGCGUGCGGGCGAUACGGGCAGACUGGAGUACUGCAGGGGAGACUGGAAUUCCUGGUGUAGCGGUGGAAUGCGCAGAUAUCAGGAGGAACACCGGUGGCGAAGGCGGGUCUCUGGGCAGUAACUGACGCUGAGGAGCGAAAGCGUGGGGAGCGAACAGGAUUAGAUACCCUGGUAGUCCACGCCGUAAACGGUGGGUACUAGGUGUGGGUUUCCUUCCUUGGGAUCCGUGCCGUAGCUAACGCAUUAAGUACCCCGCCUGGGGAGUACGGCCGCAAGGCUAAAACUCAAAGGAAUUGACGGGAAUC